rnacentral:lncRNA from 1 species
GAAUCUGCCAUCAGCAAUGCUGAGGCCUGACCUUGGUGGAAAUGGAGGUGGCAUUUAACUUUUCUUCUAAAACAUAGUCCGAUCCUAGCCAUCCUGAAGAGAGACAAACAGCUACAGCAGUAGCUCUCAACCCUGGCUGCACAUGAGGAUCAGCUGGAGGAGCUUUGAUGAAGUGCUGAUGUCCAGGGCGCACCCUCAGAGACAGGAACUGGCAAACAGACACACGGAGGAGCAGGUCACGUGAAGAUGGAGGCAGAGGUUGGAGUUAUGCUGCCAUAAGACAAAAAGUGCCUGGAGCCCCCAGACGCUGGAAGAGGCGAGGAAGUAUCUAGAGCCCUCAGAGGGACAGUGGCCCUGUUGACACCUUAAUUUUGGACUUCUGGUUUCCAAAACUGUGAGAAAAUAAUUUCUUGUUUUUAGCUGCCAAGUUUGUGUUAAUUUGUUA